UGUUUAGUUUUAUAUUAGGUUGUUUCUGCCCGGUGAUAGUUUUUAACGGCCGCGGUAUUCUGACCGUGCAAAGGUAGCAUAAUAGUUUGCUCUGUAAUUUAGGGCUGGGAUGAAUGGGAGGACGAGAGUUAGUCUGUCUUCUGCUUAGUUUUGGAAUUUUCUUUUUAGGUGAAGAGGCCUGAGUGUCGGAGUGGGACAAGAAGACCCCGUCGAGUUUUACUAUUAUUUUGGUUUGGUUUUUGUAUUUGUGGGUGUUGUGAUUGCUUGCUUUAUAUUUUUUGGUUAACUGGUUGGUUUGGUUGGGGCGAUCUGAGAAGAGUGGAAUCUUCUUUUUUUUUUAUAUACUGGUGGAAUAGUGAUCCAUGGUUUGUGAUCUAGGGACUAAGUUACCGCGGGGAUAACAGCGUAAUUUUCUUUGAGAGUUCUUAUCGAAAGGGAAGGUUGCGACCUCGAUGUUGACUUAUUAUUUCCUUUAUUGGUGUAGGUUCUGGUAGGGUUGGUCUGUUCAACCA
rnacentral:rRNA from 1 species